rnacentral:rRNA from 1 species
AUUGAGAGUUUGAUCCUGGCUCAGGACGAACGCUGGCGGCGUGCUUAACACAUGCAAGUCGAGCGAUGAAGUUCCUUCGGGAACGGAUUAGCGGCGGACGGGUGAGUAACACGUGGGUAACCUGCCUCAUAGAGGGGAAUAGCCUUUCGAAAGGAAGAUUAAUACCGCAUAAGAUUGUAGUGCCGCAUGGCAUAGCAAUUAAAGGAGUAAUCCGCUAUGAGAUG